GAUGAACGCUAGCUACAGGCUUAACACAUGCAAGUCGAGGGACCGGCGCACGGGUGAGUCACACGUAUCCAACCUGCCCUUUACUCGGGGAUAGCCUUUCGAAAGAAAGAUUAAUACCCGAUAUAAAGGAUGGGGCUGCGUUCCAUUAGGUUGUUGGUGAGGUAACGGCCCACCAAGCCUUCGAUGGAUAGGGGUUCUGGGAGGAACGUCCCCCACAUUGGAACUGGGACACGGUCCAAACUCGUACGGGAGGCGGCAGUGAGGAAUAUUGGGCAAUGGGCGGUAGCCUGAACCAGCCAAGUAGCGUGAAGGGUGAAGGCUUAUGGGUCGUAAACUUCUUGUAUAUAAGAAUAUGUAUUAUAUGAAUAAGGAUCGGCUAACUCCGUGCCAGCAGCCGCGGUAAUUC
rnacentral:rRNA from 1 species